UGAGGAAUCUUCCACAAUGGACGAAAGUCUGAUGGAGCGACACCGCGUGAAGGAUGAAGGCCUAACGGUUGUAAACUUCUUUUCUGAGGGAGCAUAAUGAGAGUACUUCAGGAAUAAGGAACGGCAAAUCACGUGCCAGCAGCCGCGGUAAUACGUGAGUUCCAAGCGUUACCCGGAAUCAUUGGGUGUAAAGGAUGCGUAGGUGGAUUUUUAAGUCGGGUAUGAAAGACCGGAGCUCAACUCCGUGUUU
rnacentral:rRNA from 1 species